AACGCGAGGGGUAAGCAUUAUUCAGCAUUAAUGGGUCUAAAGGGUACGUAGGCGGUUUCACAAAACUUUACUUGUUUAAAAUCAAACCAAUAUAAACAUUUAUAGUGACUAUGAAACUUGGGUGAAAUGGAGGAAAAAGGAAUUCCAAGGGGAGUGAUGAAAUAUGAUGAUCCUCGGAAGACCGCUAAGGGCGAAGGCUUUUUUCUAACUUAUCACUGACGCUGAGGUACGAAAGUGUGGGGAGCAAAGCGG
rnacentral:rRNA from 1 species